rnacentral:rRNA from 1 species
ACGAGGGGUCUAAGCGUUGUUCGGAAUCACUGGGCGUAAAGCGGGUGUAGGUGGCUCAGCAAGUUAGAUGUGAAAGCCCCGGGCUCAACCCGGGAAGUGCAUCUAAAACUACUGAGCUUGAGUACGGGAGAGGGAAGCAGAAUUCCUGGUGUAGUGGUGAAAUACGUAGAUAUCAGGAGGAACACCGGUGGCGAAGGCGGUUUCCUGGCCCAGUACUGACACUCAGACCCGAAAGCGUGGGUAGCAAACAGGAUUAGAUACCCUGGUAGUCCACGCCUUAAACGAUGAUCACUUGGUGUUGGAGGUAUUGACCCCUUCAGUGCCGAAGCUAACGCGUUAAGUGAUCCGCCUGGGAAGUACGGUCGCAAGAUUA